GUGCUUACUUAUGCAGCAUAUACACUAAAAUUGGAAUGAUGCAGAAAAGAUUAGCAUGGCCACAUGCAAGGGUGACGUGUAAAUUCAUGAAGCAUUCCAUAUUUUU